GACGGAGGAUGCAAGUGUUAUCCGGAAUCACUGGGCGUAAAGCGUCUGUAGGUGGUUUAAAAAGUCCACUGUUAAAGAUUGAAGCUUAACUUCAAAAAUGCCGUGGAAACUUUUAAACUUGAGUAUGAUAGGGGGUAGAGGGAAUUUCCAGUGGAGCGGUGAAAUGCGUAGAUAUUGGAAAAGACCACCAAUGGCGAAGGCACUCUACUGGGCCAUUACUGACACUGAGAGACGAAAGCUAGGGGAGCGAAUGGG
rnacentral:rRNA from 1 species